rnacentral:rRNA from 1 species
GACGAACGCUGGCGGCGUGCCUAAUACAUGCAAGUCGAACGAGAACGGGCUAUAGCUUGCUAUAGCUGUCAGCUAAGUGGCGCACGGGUGAGUAAUGUAUAGGUAAUAUGCCUCUUACUAAGGGAUAACAAAUGGAAACGUUUGCUAAUACCUUAUACUCCUUAUUAACAGAAGUUAAUAAGGGAAAGAUUUAUUGGUAAGAGAUUAGCCUGUAUUGUAUCAGUUAGUUGGUGGGGUAAUGGCUUACCAAGACUAUGACACAUAACUGGUUUGAGAGGAUGAUCAGUCACACUGGAACUGAGACACGGUCCAGACUCCUACGGGAGGCAGCAGUGGGGAAUAUUGCACAAUGGACGAAAGUCUGAUGCAGCAACGCCGCGUGGAGGAUGACACAUUUCGGUGCGUAAACUCCUUUUAUAUGAGAAGAUAAUGACGGUAUUAUAUGAAUAAGCACCGGCUAACUCCGUGCCAGCCGCCGCAGUAA